GAUGCCCGGCAGAGUCUGCUACUGCUGCCCUUAGCCUCCCACCUGGCUGGUUUCCCUGAUGCUCUCCUAAGAGCACUGUCUGGGCAUUUAUUUUCUAUUUUUAUUUUUGAUAACAUUUUCAUGAACUCCACUUGGUAGUUUACGUGAAAGCACGUUGCUUGUGCAUUCUAUGGGUUCGAACACACACGUGAUGUCCUCUGUCCAGUAGCACAGUGUCAUAGAAUAGUGCCACUGCCCUAGAAAUCUGCUGUAACUGAGCCUCCCUCCCCCAACUGCUGGCAACCACUGGUCCUUUUGUUGCCUGCAUAGUUUUGCCUUUUCCAGAAUGUCUUGUGGACCAUACAGAUGGACUUCUUUUACUUCAUGAUAUGCAUUUAAGCCCCACCUUUAGUCUUCCCAUGGGCUGAUAAGAGUAUGUUUAAUUUUGUAAGAAACCACCAAGCUCUCCUCCAAAGUGGCUCUACUGCUUUACAUCCCUACUAGCUGUGAGCGGCUUCUGGUUGAAGAGCAGUGUUUUUUUAAAUAUUGCUUCUCUGUGGACCACACAAAACACCAAUUUUAGAUUAAUUAAAAAGCAAAACCAGCUGAGAAUGGUGGCAUAAUCCUGUAAGCCCAGACACUCAGGAGGCUAAGACAGGGGAGCAAGAGUUUGAGGCACCCCUAGGUGACAUAGAAAAUCUAGUCUCAAAAAUCAAACGGAACAACAACAACAAAAGUCCUCACUACAGUUUGAACGUGCCGAGGACAAAGCACAAUUAAAAAUUAACACUGAUGAUUGUGGCUUUAUCUCAGUGCGCUGGCUUGUUUGACCUGGCGGAGGAUGAAGAGCUUUUGCCGUUGGUCGAUUCCUCAUCCAGCUGGCCUCAUGGAACAAACUCCUUGAAUGAAAAGUGGAAAUGUUCUCUGAGCCUGAAGGGCAUCAGGAAGAGAUACUUUGAUCUUAGCUGUUGCCUGGAAGCCCCCAGGAGGGGGUCUUUCUCUUCUGGCCAGCCUGCUGCAGGGUCACAUGGCAGUGGCUUGUCAUUCGUCCAGCUGCAUCAUGGCCACAGCUGCCCUGAACAACUCCAGGGGCAUAAAGCAAGGAAAAAAAGAUCAUCAAACACUUCUUAUAUUUGAACUGAACAAUUGCAGGAGUCACUUCCAGCAUGGCACAUUAGCAAAUGUGAGUCCAGGUGAGAGGCAGACAGCGGGACACCUGGAAACAGGAUCUCCUUGUCCCCAAGGCCACGAACUACGGUACUGAUAAAGAUGUCUACUGAGAACUCUUCUGCCUUCUUUUAUUGUAUACGUGAGUACAACGCAUAUAUGUAUAUGUAUGUUAUACAUCCACUGAACGUGCAUACAUUCAUAUAUAAUGUAUGUGGUAUACACACAACACACGUGUAUCUUUGUGUGCAUGUAUAUGUAUACAUGCUUAUGAUUUUCCUUCUUUGUUAACUUUGUAUCUGGUUUUAAAUCUUCUUAAUGACUUGAGAAAUGAACCCUUCUCCAUUGUUGGUGAGGGUACAGACUGGUGCAACA